CCCAAGAGUGUAAUUCAGCUGCCCCAGCCCGCAAACGUCUCCGGCCGAGCGCCCUGCCUAGGGCAGUUCAUUGGCAGCGCCCGCCCGCCCGGCGCCGCCCCCUUGGGAAGUCAAUCAGGGCAUUGUUGGUGGAGCGCAGAGCUGCACGGCGUAGGGCCCGGAGCCGCCGCACGGGCUGCCAAGACUCCCCCCGCCACCCCAGGGCAGCCAGCUGGCAGGGGCGGCAGGUGAGAGCUGCUGAGUCUCUUUGAAAAGCUAAUGUUUAUCCUGGCCAACUGAAACUUUCUGUCCCAUGUCCAACUCCUGCAGACCUUUGCUGAGUUCCUAGAUUCCACCUGCCAGAGAUUCCCAUGGCUUUCAUGGGCAUGAGCGGAAUUGUCCCAGAGACAGCUGUCUUAGUGGAUGGUGGAGAGUAAUGCAGUCAUUUACGUAGCUGGGUCCCACUGAAGACUUUGAAGAUCAGAAUCAACGUCAACCUGACGGUGAGGUGAUGGGCUGUGUCCGGCAUGGAGGGGCCUACAGAGCAGGUCAUAGAGCUAAGACUCUGAUAUUUUCAGCAAAGUUCCAUGUCUCCAAGAUUUUUUUAAAAAUUAAAAACUGUUUUUAUUUGGAUUCAAAUACCCCCCUACAGUAUUUGGCCUUGAGCUAGUGCACUAGAAUCACAAAAUGAAACUGACUAAAAACAAAAGGGAAACCAACUAGACCAUUUUCCUUGACCAAGCUAAGUGAACUACAUAAAGGAUAGGAGACUUUGAAAGCUCUCUGCUUCUAAUAAUCUAAUAAUAUAUCAUGAAUAACACAA